AAUCGACCCCCUCGGUGUCGUAGCCAACGCGUUAAGUGUUCCGCCUGGGGAGUACGCACGCAAGUGUGAAACUCAAAGGAAUUGACGGGGGCCCGCACAAGCGGUGGAGUAUGUGGUUUAAUUCGAUGCAACGCGAAGAACCUUACCAGGGUUUGACACCCUGCGAAUCUCUUGGAAACAGGAGAGUGCCUUCGGGAACGCAGUGACAGGUGGUGCAUGGCUGUCGUCAGCUCGUGUCGUGAGAUGUUGGGUUAAGUCCCGCAACGAGCGCAACCCACGUCUUUAGUUGCCAGCAUUUAGUUGGGCACUCUAGAGAGACUGCCGGUGAUAAACCGGAGGAAGGUGUGGAUGACGUCAAGUCAUCAUGCCCCUUACAUCCUGGGCUACACACGUACUACAAUGCUACGGACAAAGGGCAGCAAGUUCGCGAGGACAAGCAAAUCCCAUAAACCGUGGCUCAGUUCAGAUCGUAGGCUGCAACUCGCCUACGUGAAGGCGGAAUCGCUAGUAAUCGCAGGUCAGCAUACUGCGGUGAAUACGUUCCCGGGCCUUGUACACACCGCCCGUCACACCAUGGAAGUUGGCCACGCCCGAAGCCGUUACUCCAACCCUUGUGGAGGAGGACGUCGAAGGUGGGGCUGAUGACUGGGGUGAAGUCGUAACAAGGUAACC
rnacentral:rRNA from 1 species